GACUCGUUAGCUCAGCCGGUAGAGCAACUGGCUUUUAACCAGUGGGUCCGGGGUUCGAAUCCCCGACGAGUCA
rnacentral:ncRNA from 13 species